AGAUAUGAUCCAGAGUACCACGGGACACGUGAAACCCUGUGGGAAGCAGGAGGGACCACCCUCCAAGGCUAAAUACUACCUAGUGACCGAUAGCGUAUAGUACCGUGAGGGAAAGGUGAAAAGAACCCCGGGAGGGGAGUGAAAUAGAACCUGAAACCCUGCACUUACAAGCUGUGGAAGCACAUUUCUUGUGUGACCGCGUACUUUUUGUAGAACGGGCCAACGAGUUACGUUAAGUAGCAAGGUUAAGCACUUAAGGUGCGGAGCCGUAGCGAAAGCGAGUUUUAACUGAGCGUUCAGUUACUUGACGUAGACCCGAAACCGGGCGACCUACCCAUGAGCAGGAUGAAGCGAAAGUAAAAUUUCGUGGAGGUCCGAACCCACGAGCGUUGAAAAGCUCGGGGAUGACUUGUGGGUAGCGGUGAAAUUCCAAUCGAGCCCGGAGAUAGCUGGUUCUCCCCGAAAUAGCUUUAGGGCUAGCCUCAAGGUGAGAGAUACGGAGGUAGAGCACUGAAUGUCCUAGGGGGUAUUGCACCUACCGAAGACUAUCAAACUCCGAAUGCCGUCAUCUUAUACUUGGGAGUCAGACUGUGGGUGAUAAGAUUCAUAGUCGAAAGGGCAACAGCCCAGAUCGUCAGCUAAGGUCCCUAAAUGUAAGUUAAGUGGUAAAGGAUGUGGGAUUGCACAGACAACCAGGAUGUUGGCUUAGAAGCAGCCACUCAUUCAAAGAGUGCGUAAUAGCUCACUGGUCGAGUGAUCCUGCGCCGAAGAUUUCCGGGGCUAAAACUUACUACCGAAGCUACGGCAUCAGUAAUGAUGGGUAGGGGAGCUUCCCAUACGGGUUGAAGCAUGACCGUAAGGACAUGUGGACAGUAUGGGAGUGAGAAUGUUGGCAUGAGUAGCGAGAUGUGGGUGAGAAUCCCACAGGCCGUAAACCCAAGGUUUCCAGGGGAAGGUUCGUCCGC
rnacentral:rRNA from 1 species